UACGUAGGGGGCGAGCGUUGUCCGUAUUUAUUGGGCGUAAAGAGCUCGUAGGCGGCUUAGCAAGUCGGGUGUGAAAACUCCAGGCUCAACCUGGAGACGCCACUCGAGACUGCUAUGGCUAGAGUCCGGUAGGGGACCACGGAAUUCCUGGUGUAGCGGUGAAAUGCGCAGAUAUCAGGAGGAACACCGGUGGCGAAGGCGGUGGUCUGGGCCGGCACUGACGCUGAGGAGCGAAAGCGUGGGGAGCAAACAGG
rnacentral:rRNA from 1 species